AACCGGACUAGGGAGUGUCCCUCCCCUAAUUAACGGUAACGCGAGGGAAGGAAAAGCCCAGACGCAUAAUCCCCCAGUCCUGCAGGGCUGGCGGGAAAUGUUGCGUAUAGGAGGGUCGAUUCUCCCGAGCGUCGCGGCCGGUCCAAGUCCCUCUUGAACGGGGCCACGGUCCUUAGAAGGUGCCAGGCCUGUGGGAUGGUUGCGAUGCCCGGGAAGACCUCUCCUUGGAGUCGGGUUGCUUGAGAGUGCAGCCCUAAGCAGGUGGUAAACUCCAUCUAAGGCUAAAUAUUACCACGAGACCGAUAGCAAACAAGUACCGUGAGGGAAAGUUGAAAAGAACUUUGAAGAGAGAGUUCAAGAGUACGUGAAACCGUUCAGGGGUAAACGGGUGGAGCCCUAAAGGUCGAACGAGGAGAUUCAGUGUUCCGUCCACUGGCCGCCCGCUGCCGUUGGGUAAACUUCUGCUCCCUGCCUCGCGGUAGGUUCUCGCGGAGGGCCCUCGGUGGUGGACUGCGCGCCGGUGGGGUUGCGCAAUUCUCCUCUAGUAGCACGCCGCGACCCGUUGGGUGUCUGUCGAAAGCCCGGGGGCGAGCCCAAGGCACCGUUCGCGGUGCCUCGGAGUCCCGGUGUCUAGGCAGAUAGCCCGACGGUCUUACAAGAGGAAAAGGCCCGCGUGGCUAUUCGUAGCUCGCGCCCGUGCCUCGUGCGAACGUCCGGUCGCGUGUCGUUGUGCGGACUUGUCCGCCGCGGCCCGUCUGGCGUUGUCGGCGCGAGGUUUCUCGGGCAGUGGCCUGCUCCCGUCUGCGGCGGUAACACAGGGCGGCCCACCCGGCCCGUCUUGAAACACGGACCAAGGAGUCUAACAUGUGCGCGAGUCACUGGGUACCACUACACCCAAAGGCGUAUUGAACGAAAAGGCCGUCCUUCGCGUCGGCUGAGGGAAGAUGGAGGCUCUCUCGGGGGCCUCCCGCAUUCCCGGGGCGUCUCGUCCUACCGCCGCUCGUCGGCGGAAGGUGAGGCGCACCAUGAGCGCACACGUUGGUACCCGAAAGAUGGUGAACUAUGCCUGGCCAGGACGAAGCCAGGGGAAACCCUGGUGGAGGUCCGUAGCGAUUCUGACGUGCAAAUCGAUCGUCAGAGCUGGGUAUAGGGGCGAAAGACUAAUCGAACCAUCUAGUAGCUGGUUCCCUCCGAAGUUUCCCUCAGGAUAGCUGGCGUUCGGAGAUUCGAGUCCCAUCCGGUAAAGCGAAUGAUUAGAGGCCAUGGGGUCGAAACGACCUCAACCUAUUCUCAAACUCUAAAUGGGUGGGAACCGCGGCUUGCUUGAACGUGAAGCCGUGGUUCGGAUCGGAGUGCCCAGUGGGCCACUUUUGGUAAGCAGAACUGGCGCUGUGGGAUGAACCAAACGCCGGGUUAAGGCGCCCGAAUAAACGCUCAUGUGAAACCAUGAAAGGUGUUGGUUGCUUAAGACAGCAGGACGGUGGCCAUGGAAGUCGGAAUCCGCUAAGGAGUGUGUAACAACUCACCUGCCGAAGCAACUAGCCCUGAAAAUGGAUGGCGCUGAAGCGUUUUGCCUAUACCCGGCCGCCGGCGGCAGAAGGCGGCAUUCUUCGGGAUGUCGCUGCGAAGCCCCGGUGAGUAGGAGGGUCGCGACGGUGAGCGCAGAAGGGUCUGGGCGUGAGCCUGCCUGGAGCCGCCGUCGGUGCAGAUCUUGGUGGUAGUAGCAAAUACUCCAGCGAGGCCCUGGAGGACCGAUGUGGAGAAGGGUUCCGUGUGAACAGCCGUUGCACACGGGUCAGUCGAUCCUAAGCCCUAGGAGAAAUCCGAUGUUGAUGGUCGCGGGAUGUUUGACAGUCGCGUCAGUUUCGAAAGAGCAAGCCCCUCGUCCGUUGAGCGGACUUGGGAGUGCGUCCUAUCGUGUAGUCUCAAACACUUAAUGAUCUCGGUCAAGUAGCUUGGUAUCCCCGGUACGAAGAGAAAAAAUUCUCGGAUCUGGGAAUUGACGAGUUCUUCUGAAACAACCAUCUGCGACAUGUAACAACGACGCCCAAAAAAUGCGUCGUGUUGUCGAGAUGGAGAAAGCAGGAGUCUCUGAUUUUUCCGGUGAAGAGAUGCUUUUUUUUCGGAAAAGGAGCUUGCGAAAUACGACCGAGUGUGUUGCCUCCACUUGAACGACGCCGGGAAAAUUAAAUUUUUUUCGGCGCACUUGAACGAGAGGUAAAGGGACAUGACGAGGUGCCAGAACAGCUUGGAGUAGAUCUGAUCUCAUCGCGACCGAACUAUUAACCCCGUCCGUCGGGCGAAAGGGAAUCCGGUUCCUAUUCCGGAACCCGGUUGCGGAACCGCACUCACGAUCCUCGUAUUGACACGGUAACGUGAAUGAGCCCAGAGACGCCGCCUGGAGCCCCGGGAAGAGUUUUCUUUUCUGCCUGAGCGUUCGGGUUCCAUGGAAUCCUCUCGUAGGGAGAUAUGGAAUGGAACGCGAAGAGCACCGCAGUUGCUGCGGUGUCCGGGGAGUCCCGCCGGCCCUUGAAAAUCUGGGUGAGGAUCACGUGGAGGUGUCGCACCGGCUCGUACCCAUAUCCGCAGCAGGUCUCCAAGGUCAAGAGCCUCUGGUCGAUAGACUA
rnacentral:rRNA from 1 species